rnacentral:rRNA from 1 species
UACGUAGGGUCGCGAGCGUUAUCCGGAAUUACUGGGCGUAAAGAGCUCGUAGGUGGUUUGUCGCGUUGUUCGUGAAAACUCACAGCUUAACUGUGGGCGUGCGGGCGAUACGGGCAGACUUGAGUACUGCAGGGGAGACUGGAAUUCCUGGUGUAGCGGUGGAAUGCGCAGAUAUCAGGAGGAACACCGGUGGCGAAGGCGGGUCUCUGGGCAGUAACUGACGCUGAGGAGCGAAAGCGUGGGGAGCGAACGGG